GUUCGAAUCGCUAACAGUUCACCAACAGAGAAGAUUAGCAUGGCCCCUGCACUAAGGAUGACACGCUCAAUCAAAGAGAAGCUAAACAUUUUU
rnacentral:snRNA from 1 species